rnacentral:rRNA from 1 species
GACGAACGCUGGCGGCGUGCCUAAUACAUGCAAGUUGAGCGCUGAAGGUUGGUACUUGUACCAACUGGAUGAGCAGCGAACGGGUGAGUAACGCGUGGGGAAUCUGCCUUUGAGCGGGGGACAACAUUUGGAAACGAAUGCUAAUACCGCAUAAAAACUUUAAACACAAGUUUUAAGUUUGAAAGAUGCAAUUGCAUCACUCAAAGAUGAUCCCGCGUUGUAUUAGCUAGUUGGUGAGGUAAAGGCUCACCAAGGCGAUGAUACAUAGCCGACCUGAGAGGGUGGUCGGCCACAUUGGGACUGAGAAACGGCCCAAACGCCUACGGGAGGCAGCAGUAGGGAAACUUCGGCAAUGGACGAAAGUCUGACCGAGCAACGCCGCGUGAGUGAAGAAGGUUGUCGGAUCGUAAAACUCUGUUGGUAGAGAAGAACGUUGGUGAGAGUGGAAAGCGCAUCAAGUGACGGUAACUACCCAGAAAGGGACGGCUAACUACGUG